GUUUACGUUUUAUGUUUUGUACGUUUACAGAAACUCGCAAUACGGCAAUACGCGUUAUUUUUUAAAGCCAUUUGGCAGCCCCCUGGCAUUUCGGGGGGGAAGGGGGAAAUCCAAAAAAGAAAUCCAAGCGCGGAGAAAAAGAUUUCUCCACCGCUUAAAAAAACCUCCUUUUAUUUCGCAUCCUCACCCACCCCCAAAUCCCUUAAUUCGGGGGGGCGGCCAAAAGCAAAACGGAAAACAGUUCACAAAAGGGGUUCCCUGAAAAGGCGGCGGGAAAAAAACCCGCGCACGCCUUUUGGGGCUUUCGUUUUGUUAAUGAUCCAACCGCAGGUUCACCUACGGUUA
rnacentral:misc_RNA from 1 species